GGAAGCGGCGCGGCGGCGCAGGAGGAGGGCCACAAAAUGGCGGCGCCGUGCGGGGCGCGGGCCCUGCUGCUGCUGCUGCUCCUCGGCGCCGCCCGCGCCCUGGCCCCCAGCCACCGCCUCACCGCCGGCGACCUGGCCCGGCUGCGGGCGGCGCUGGAGCGGCCCUUCGGCGACGUGCAGGCCGCCUACCACUCCGUGGUGGGCCUCGGCAGCCUGGGGCUGCGGCUGGCGGACGAGAAGGCUGCAUGUAAUUUCAUCAAGUCUCACGUAGACUCCAGCAGUGUCGAUUCCCUUUUCUAUGCUGCACAAUCUAUCCGCGUCCUGUCUGGUUGCGAGGUUGCCAUCUCAAAUGAGACCAGGGAGCUGCUGCUUGCAGCUGUCAGUGAGGACUCCUCGAUCACCCAGAUCUUCCAUGCUGUUGGGGCCCUGAGUGGCUUUGGCCUUCCUCUAGCUUCUCAGGAAGCACUUAGUGCUCUUACUGCUCGUCUUAGCAAAGAAGAAAACGUGCUGGCAACCAUCCAGGCUUUAGAAACAGCAUCUUACUUGUCCCAGCAGGCAGAUUUAAGUGCCAUUGUUGAAGAGAUAGAGGAUCUUGUUGCUCGCCUGGAUGACUUGGGUGGAGUCUAUCUGCAAUUUGAAGAAGGAAUUGAGACGACUGCACUGUUUGUUGCUGCUGCCUAUAAGCUGUCCGACCACGUGGGUACAGAGCCAGCAAUGAAGGAGGAUCAAAUUAUCCAGUUGAUGAAUGCAAUUUUUAGCAAGAAAAAUUUUGAGACGCUCUCAGAGGCUUUCAGUAUUGCUUGUGCCACGGGUGCUUUAUCCCGCAACCGCUACCACUUGCCUGUCAUUAUUGUCCCUGAUGGGUCUGCAGCUGUGUCUCACCAUCAGCCUGUGCUCAAGCUUCAAGUGACCAAUGUUAUGUCCCAGCCACUUACUCAAGCUUCUGUGAAGCUGGACUAUGCCAAGUCUGCAUCUACCAAAGCCACCGUCCUUCAACAGACACCAUUUGUUCUGUCAGGAGAUGUCUUUGAGCUGAACUUCAUGAACGUCAAACCUGCAAGUGGAUAUUAUGAUUUCUCUAUCAGUGUCGAUGGAGAUAACCGAUUUAUUGCGAACAAAGUUGAGCUGAAAGUAAAAGUUUCCACAGAAGUUGGGAUUACUAAUGUAGAUCUUUCUACUGUGGAUAAAGAUCAGAGCAUUGCACCAAAAACAACCAGGGUAGCUUACCCAGCCAAAGCCAAGGGCUCGUUCACUGCUGACAGCCAUCAGAAUUUUGCUCUAUCCUUCCAGCUGAUAGAUGUGAACAGUGGAGCUGAACUCAUCCCUCACCAGACUUUUGUCCGACUUCACAACCAGAAGACUGGCCAGGAGGUAGUGUUUGUUGCAGAACCGGAUAGCAAGAACGUAUACAAGUUUGAGCUGGAUACCUCUGAAAGAAAGACUGAGUUUGAUUCUGCCUCUGGUACCUAUACUCUGUACUUGAUAAUUGGAGAUGCCACUCUGGAAAAUCCAAUCCUGUGGAACGUGGCUGAUGUUGUGAUCAAAUUCCCAGAGGAGGAUGCACCAUCCACAGUCCAGUCCAAGAACCUCUUUGUUCCCAAACCUGAAAUCCAGCACCUCUUCAGGGAACCUGAGAAGAGGCCUCCCACUGUGGUAUCUAACACGUUCACAGCAUUGAUUCUCUCACCACUGCUCUUGCUGCUCAUUCUGGUUUUGUUUCUUUUCCUUUUAGUGGAUAAAGAUUGGUGCCAACAUCUCCAACUUCAGCUUUGCUCCCAGCACCAUUGUUUUUCACAUGGGACAUGCUGCAAUGUUGGGACUCAUGUAUGUCUACUGGACUCAGCUCAACAUGUUCCAGACUCUGAAGUACUUGGCCAUUUUGGGUGGUGUCACGUUCCUGGCAGGCAAUAGGAUGCUGGCUCAUAAAGCAGUAAAACGGAUCGCUGCAGAGCAGAGCAGUAGGUUGGCAAAGUAUAGAACGCUGCGAUAAAAGGGGGUUUUGCUAGUGACCAGCUCUUCUAGAAGACACACUAGCACCAGAAGAAUGGAAGAAAUGGGG